rnacentral:rRNA from 1 species
UACAGAGGGUGCGAGCGUUGUUCGGAAUACUGGGCGUAAAGCGCGCGCAGGCGGCCUUUUAAGUCUGACGGUGAAAUGCCGGGGCUCAACCCCGUGCCCGCCGCGGAUACUGGGAGGCUGGAGACAUGUAGAGGCAAGCGGAAUUCCGGGUGUAGCGGUGGAAUGCGUAGAGAUCCGGAAGAACACCGGUGGCGAAGGCAGCCCCCUGGGCUGACACUGACGCUCAGGCACGAAAGCGUGGGGAGCAAACAGGG